UGGGCGUAAGAGCGCGUAGGCGGCCUGGUAAGUCAGAUGUGAAAGCCCGGGGCUCAACCCUGGAAGUGCAUUUGAUACUGCUUGGCUUGAGUAUGGGAGAGGGAAGUGGAAUUCCUGGUGUAGAGGUGAAAUGCGUAGAUAUCAGGAGGAACACCGGUGGCGAAGGCGGCUUCCUGGACCAAUACUGACGCUGAGGCGCGAAAGCGUGGGGAGCAAACGGGAUUAGAUACCCUGGUAGUCCACGCCGUAAACGAUGUUCACUAGGUGUGGGGGGUAUUGACCCCUGCUGUGCCGAAGCUAACGCAUUAAGUGCCCCGCCGGGGAAGUACGGCCGCAAGGUUAAAACUCAAAGGAAUUGACGG
rnacentral:rRNA from 1 species